rnacentral:tRNA from 1 species
GAGGGUAUAGGCUCAGUGGUAGAGUGCGUGCUUAACACGCACAAGGUCCCGGGUUCAAUCCCCAGUGCCUCCG